CCUUCGGGAGGCAGCAGUGGGGAAUAUUGGGCAAUGGACGCAAGUCUGACCCAGCAACGCCGCGUGAAGGAAGAAGGCUUUCGGAUUGUAAACUUCUUUUAAGAGGGAAGAGCAGAAGACGGUACCCCUUGAAUAAGCCACGUCUAACUACGUGGCAGCAGCCGCGGUAAUACGUAGGUGGCAAGCGUUGUCCGGAUUUACUGGGUGUAAAGGGCGUGCAGCCGGGAAGACAAGUCAGAUGUGAAAUCCCGCGGCUCAACCGCGGAACUGCAUUUGAAACUGUUCUUCUUGAGUAUAGGAGAGGUAAGCGGAAUUCAUGGUGUAGCGGUGAAAUGCGUAGAGAUUAGGAAGAACACCAGUGGCGAAGGCGGAUUACUGGACGACAACUGACGGUGAGGCGCGAAAGCGUGGGGAGCAAACAGGAUUAGAUACCCCAGUAGUC
rnacentral:rRNA from 1 species